UUGGCCUCAAAUCGGGUGAGACUACCCGCUGAACUUAAGCAUAUCAAUAAGCGGGAGGAAAAGAACUAACANGGAUUCCCCUAGUAACUGCGAGUGAAGCGGGAAAAGCUCAAUUUAAAUCUGG
rnacentral:rRNA from 1 species